rnacentral:rRNA from 1 species
AACGGACGCUGGCGGCAUGCCUAACACAUGCAAGUCGAACGAGACCUUCGGGUCUAGUGGCGCACGGGUGCGUAACGCGUGGGAACCUGCCUUUAGGUUCGGAAUAACUCAGAGAAAUUUGAGCUAAUACCGGAUGAUGUCUUCGGACCAAAGAUUUAUCGCCUUUAGAUGGGCCCGCGUUGGAUUAGCUAGUUGGUGGGGUAAAGGCCUACCAAGGCGACGAUCCAUAGCUGGUCUGAGAGGAUGAUCAGCCACACUGGGACUGAGACACGGCCCAGACUCCUACGGGAGGCAGCAGUGGGGAAUAUUGGACAAUGGGCGAAAGCCUGAUCCAGCAAUGCCGCGUGGGUGAUGAAGGCCUUAGGGUUGUAAAGCUCUUUUACCCGAGAUGAUAAUGACAGUAUCGGGAGAAUAAGCUCCGGCUAACUCCGUG